UUUAUGUGUGCUAAAUGUGAACAGCUGCUGAGCAACAGAGUGGGUAUAAUUUUCCAGUGGGGACAAGAGAACAGCUGUUUUACUAUUUCUCCUCUGGUGUUUUCUUUGAUAUUGAAGUUCAUCUGGAAGAAGAGUUUGUGUAAAACUGGAGAGCAUUUCUGUUUGGGUCAAGUUGGUAAAAACCUGAGGCUCCAGCGAUCACUUCCAAUUUCACUAUAGAAAAAUUAGUAGGUUAACUGCAACAAGAGAAUUGCUUUGGAAAACUACCUGAGGAACUGGAGAUGAUCAUGAGGCUCGGACCUGAAUCCAGAAAUAACUAAAAUGCAUACAUUUUCAAAUGCAGAUUAAAGUAGAAGGCAAGAGAUGGCUACUAUUUCUCAUUACAGAACCAGCUGUAAAGUUCUAGCUAAACAAAUGGGUAUAAACAAGUACAUAGGCCAGUGGUGUGCUUGCUGCUUUAGAAUAGGUUUUUAUUUUUAGAAAAUGCAAUAAGUACUGAAAUAAUGAAAACAUUUACGUAACUUUCAAGUAGGAUUACAGGUACCAUAAAACCUGAAGUUUUGAUAGUAGCAUAGAAUCAUCUUUCCUGCACUGGGAUAUGUAAGCAAGUGGGUGUGCAGGUGAGUAUGCAGAGUGGCUCAUUGAUAUUCUGCUGUGUGGAUCCUGGACCUUAGACCAUACAACAAAUUAAAGUACUCUUCAUUGACUGUCACCACAUAAGACUAAUAACGUGGGUCAGGGUACAGACUUGAGCGCCAGAAUGCAAAUGUCUUUAAAGAUUUGAUCUCAAUCUAGUACCAAGUUUAAGGCAAAUCCUAUAUGCUGUCUUCAGAAACUACAAAACAGUCAAAAUGUUUUUGAUUUAGUGAAUAACAAACUUUUUAAUAAUGUUUAUUAAGGCAAAAGAAUAUCACUUACAUGAUCCCCUCAAGACAGUAUGAUUGCUUGCACAAUUCAAUCCUCCUUCCUCUGAAUGAGGAUUUCAGAAUAGAAAAAAAUGCUUAAAUGAGAGCUAUCACAUGAACAGUAUUUUUGAACCACCAGGUGAAUAUAAUGGAUAAAAAUUCACACUGAUCUUUUGGGGAAUAUAUAGUUUCUGAGGAAAAAAUUAAUUAUUGAAGAUUUUUCUUGAUCGUAAUGACAUGCCCAGCACUUCCAAUGCAAAUUUAUUUUAUUGAUCAUUGUUGAAACAACUAUUUAUUUUACUGGAGUUUUAAAAUUCGUAUCAUGUCAGUGAACCUCAUGAAGUUCAACCAGGAUAAGUACAG
rnacentral:lncRNA from 1 species